rnacentral:lncRNA from 1 species
AUAAAAAAACUACAAAUUAAAUGUUUGCUCAUGCUCUUUAUGAUUCUAUUUCAAUCUAGUUCUAAUACCCAAACCCAAAUCUAUCAGUAAACAGGAAGCAGUUGAGUGAUGAAUGUGAAAAGGCAUUUCACAGUAUAGCUGAUAUAAUUAAAAAAAAAAAAUAGAUGAAGCACUUUUUGAGGCUUCAAUCAAUAAAUUACACAACUCUCCAACAUGUUCCAAAAACCUGGGCAACGAAAAUGAGAAAUUAGUUUAUUGUGGCAAGAGAUGCUGGCGUUAAUGAUUGAAAAACAGAUAUUUUUUUUCAAUGGUAUAAAGUAUAAACAUGAAAAAUUUACUGGUAAAUAUAUACAUAUAAAAUAGUUUCUGGAUCAUUGACAUUCAACCCA